CGACUCUGGUUUCUCUUCAUUACGCACAAGCCUUUCGCCUUUUACUAAAGACUUCCGUGGAGAGGAACACAGUUAUGAGUUCAACGUAUUUUUAAGAGGGGCUUUGCUUCUGGCAGAGCC